rnacentral:rRNA from 1 species
CAGUCGCCACGGGAAUACGUAGGUGGCAAGCGUUGUCCGGAAUUAUUGGGCGUAAAGGGCUCGCAGGCGGUUUCUUAAGUCUGAUGUGAAAGCCCCCGGCUCAACCGGGGAGGAUCAUUGGAAACUGGGAAACUUGAGUGCAGAAGAGGAGAGUGGAAUUCCACGUGUAGCGGUGAAAUGCGUAGAGAUGUGGAGGAACACCAGUGGCGAAGGCGACUCUCUGGUCUGUAACUGACGCUGAGGAGCGAAAGCGUGGGGAGCGAACAGGAUUAGAUACCCCAGUAGUCCCUGUCUCUUAUAC